UCGGGGGGCCGGGAGGCUUCGGCCUGAAACCCGCCUCCGCUGACCCUGCGCUCGCCUGGUGCCGGCGCCCUGGGACCCGAGCUCGCCCGAGGCGGCGGCUCAAACCUGCUUCGUCCCCUUCCAUCUCUCGAGUAGUUCCUGAAUCCUCCCGCCCUGUCCUCCUAUUCUGUCACCCGCCGCGCACUCCCUUUCUUCCUCCCCUGCCUUCUCUUCUACCUUCCCCCCUUCCUUCCUCCUUUCCUUCCUCUUCCCUCUUUUUCUUCCCAGCCGCUCGCCCACCGCCCAUCCAUUCUGUGCACCCGUCCAUCAGCUGUCCAUUCCCCACAGCCAGGCAUCCAUCAUUGUCUCCAAAGCCCUCCCUCUCCCCCUUCCUUCCGGAUUCUUGAGCGAACUAACUUUAAAGUCCUCCCACAGCCAACUGUCUUUGGGCAAGUUUUGAACUUUCUGCCUCGCCCCUUGGCAUCUGGGCAAUGAGGACACCGAUCAGCCUCAGAGGCUGCUGUGAAGAUGGAGUAUGACCCAUGGGGAAUCUUGCACAAGACUUGGCAUGGAGUGUGCGUGCAGUGCGCACUGGUAAUUUCUGAAAGCUCUGUGGUGGUACAUAAACAUGUAUUGUACAAUCGAUGGCAUCUUAGAUUUGCUGAAAAAUAGUCCCUGUGGAUCCCAGGAGGCAGAAUUACCAAUGCUGUUCCUCCUUACUCAGGAUCCCUGGUGCACAGAGGCCCCACCAUCUGGAACAUCCCAAGAUGCCCGCUCAGAAGUGACAUUUGUCACUUCUGUCCACACAUCAUGGCUAAUGCAAGUCAAAAGGCCACAGCUAAUAUGAAAGGAAAUGCAAUCCUACCACAUGACCAGAAGGUAGAGAAAUGGAGUAUUUCUGCAAAAUACUGAUGACGUCCACAUUGACCCCCAUUCCCAUCCUUGACCACAUCCUAUUUCUAGCCAUGCCCUUGUCUGUAACUAUUCUCCUUGCUGGCCACUCUUGGUCCCUCUCAGUCUCCACAGUCUCCACAGUCUCCACAUCCCUGAUCGUGUCUCCAUGAGCGAUGCUCUAGUUAGGAGGCCAGGAGUCCUGGCGCUGCUUCUGAAAAUGUAGACCUGUGUCUGUUCUUCUCUUCUGGCACCUACCAUAUCACAUGAUGCUGCUUAUUUUCCUAGCUACUUGCUCUGCUAGGCUGUGAGUUCUCAUUCCAUGGAUGGUGGGCAUUCAUUCUGUGCCCCCUAUGCGUGGCAAAAAGAGGAGAUGUGCAUUUGGAAGAAGAAUGGGUAAUUAAAUGAGCAAUAGCAUGAUCCUGUGGUGUCCAGAUGGCCUGAGUUGGGACCCCAGGCUCUGCCCCUAGAUUGGUGUUGUCAGAAAUGCCCAGGGGUCUUGGGAGUGUGUGUGUGUGUGUGUGUGUGUGUGUGUGUGUGUGUGU